rnacentral:rRNA from 1 species
UGGGGAAUAUUGGACAAUGGGCGCAAGCCUGAUCCAGCCAUGCCGCGUGUGUGAAGAAGGCCUUUUGGUUGUAAAGCACUUUAAGCGAGGAGGAGGCUACUGAGAUAAAUACUCUUGGAUAGUGGACGUUACUCGCAGAAUAAGCACCGGCUAACUCUGUGCCAGCAGCCGCGGUAAUACAGAGGGUGCGAGCGUUAAUCGGAUUUACUGGGCGUAAAGCGUGCGUAGGCGGCUUCUUAAGUCGGAUGUGAAAUCCCUGAGCUUAACUUAGGAAUUGCAUUCGAUACUGGGAAGCUAGAGUAUGGGAGAGGAUGUUAGAAUUCCAGGUGUAGCGGUGAAAUGCUUAGAGAUCUGGUGGAAUACCGAUGGCGAAGGCAGCCAUCUGGCCUAAUACUGACGCUGAGGUACGAAAGCAUGGGGAGCAAACAGG